GCGAGUUUGGCCGAGUUGGUUAAGGCGCUGUGUUUAGGUCAUCCAGGCUGUGUACUGGAUACUUUAUACUUAAAUCCGCAGUGGGAAACCGCGCAGGUUCGAAUCCUGCAGCUCGCA